rnacentral:rRNA from 1 species
UACAGAGGUCCCGAGCGUUGUUCGGAUUCACUGGGCGUAAAGGGUGCGUAGGUGGUCGGGUAAGUUUGAUGUGAAAUCUCUGAGCUCAACUCAGAAACUGCAUUGAAUACUAUCCGGCUUGAGAAUCGGAGGGGGGACUGGAAUACUUGGUGUAGCAGUGAAAUGCGUAGAUAUCAAGUGGAACACCAGUGGCGAAGGCGAGUCCCUGGACGAUUUCUGACACUGAGGCACGAAAGCUAGGGGAGCAAACAGG